rnacentral:rRNA from 1 species
AGCGAACACUGGCGGCAGGCCUAACACAUGCAAGUCGAACGGAUCCUUCGGGAUUAGUGGCGGACGGGUGAAUAACACGUGGGAACGUGCCCUUUGGUUCGGAACAACUCAGGGAAACUUGAGCUAAUACCGGAUGUGCCCUUCGGGGGAAAGAUUUAUCGCCAUUGGAGCGGCCCGCGUCUGAUUAGCUAGUUGGUGAGGUAAAGGCUCACCAAGGCGACGAUCAGUAGCUGGUCUGAGAGGAUGAUCAGCCACAUUGGGACUGAGACACGGCCCAAACUCCUACGGGAGGCAGCAGUGGGGAAUCUUGCGCAAUGGGCGAAAGCCUGACGCAGCCAUGCCGCGUGAAUGAUGAAGGUCUUAGGAUUGUAAAAUUCUUUCACCGGGGACGAUAAUGACGGUACCCGGAGAAGAAGCCCCGGCUAACUUCGUGCCAGCCGCCGCUGUAAAAC